rnacentral:tRNA from 1 species
GGGAGAGUGGCCGAGUGGUUUAAGGCGCACGCCUGGAAAGCGUGUUUCCGCAAGGAAACAAGGGUUCGAAUCCCUUCUCUUCCG